rnacentral:tRNA from 1 species
GCCUAGAUAGCUCAGUCGGUAGAGCAGGGGAUUGAAAAUCCCCGUGUCGGUGGUUCGAUUCCGCCUCUGGGCACCA